rnacentral:rRNA from 1 species
UACGUAGGGUGCAAGCGUUGUCCGGAAUUAUUGGGCGUAAAGAGCUCGUAGGCGGUUUGUCGCGUCUGCUGUGAAAACCCGAGGCUCAACCUCGGGCCUGCCGUGGGUACGGGCAGACUAGAGUGCGGUAGGGGAGAGUGGAAUUCCUGGUGUAGCGGUGGAAUGCGCAGAUAUCAGGAGGAACACCAAUGGCGAAGGCAGAUCUCUGGGCCGUAACUGACGCUGAGGAGCGAAAGCAUGGGGAGCGAACAGG